AACGAACGCUGGCGGCGUGCCUCAUACAUGCAAGUCGUACGCGAAUCCUGCCGCAAGGCAGGGUUUGAGUGGCAAACGGGUGCGUAACACGUAGGUAAUCUUCCUUUGAGUUGGGGAUAAACCCUCGAAAGGGGUCUAAUACCGAAUAACACUUCUGGUUGGCAUCAACCGGAAAUUAAAGAUGGCCUCUGCUUGCAAGCUAUCGCUCGGAGAUGAGCCUGCGGCCGAUUAGUUAGUUGGCGGGAUAAAAGCCCACCAAGACUUCGAUCGGUAGCCGGUCUGAGAGGAUGUCCGGCCACACUGGGACUGAGAUACGGCCCAGACUCCUACGGGAGGCAGCAGUAGGGAAUAUUGCGCAAUGACCG
rnacentral:rRNA from 1 species